AUUGAACGCUGGCGGCAUGCCUUACACAUGCAAGUCGAACGGCAGCGCGGACUUCGGUCUGGCGGCGAGUGGCGAACGGGUGAGUAAUACAUCGGAACGUACCCUGUUGUGGGGGAUAACUAGUCGAAAGAUUAGCUAAUACCGCAUACGACCUGAGGGUGAAAGUGGGGGACCGCAAGGCCUCACGCAGCAGGAGCGGCCGAUGUCUGAUUAGCUAGUUGGUGGGGUAAAGGCCCACCAAGGCGACGAUCAGUAGCUAGUCUGAGAGGACGAUCAGCCACACUGGGACUUAGACACGGCCCAGACUCCUACGGGAGGCAGCAGUGGGGAAUUUUGGACAAUGGGGGCAACCCUGAUCCAGCAAUGCCGCGUGUGUGAAGAAGGCCUUCGGGUUGUAAAGCACUUUUGUCCGGAAAGAAAUCGCGCUGGUUAAUACCUGGCGUGGAUGACGGUACCGGAAGAAUAAGCACCGGCUAACUACGUG
rnacentral:rRNA from 1 species